GUCCUGGAUCACUAUUUUCACUGUCACGUUGCUGCUGAGUGGAGGGGAGCCUCCAUCCUGAGCUUUGACUACCAGCUGAAGAUAUUUGAUUUGCUCAUAAUCAAGAGAACGAACUGCGCUGAGAACUCCAGUUUCAGAGUUUAGACUCACAUAAGUCGAGACUGGACUACCACUGACCUGUGUAUCCUCUAAAAUAUACGAGAUUCUUGCAUUUUGGCCCCAAUCUGAGUCUCUCGCGCUGACAGUAAAUAUGGAUACUCCAGGUGGAUUAUUUUCUGUGAUGUAAGCAGAGUAAAUUGUUUUGUCAAAUAAUGGCGCGUUGUCAUUUACGUCAGAAAUCUUUAGGUGCAAUUUUGUGGAGGUGGAAAGAGGCGGAGAACCGAAAUCAGUGGCUGUUAUUGUGAUGUUAUAUUCUGAGACAGAUUCUCUAUCAAAAUGUUGAUCUGAGAUCAAAUUAUAAUAGUUUGUCAGAGAUGAUUCAAUCUUGAAAGGCAGUUUUCCCUCGAUCGAACAUUUUAUUUGUCCAUUUUUAUCAGAAUCCGCAUCUUUAAUGUUUAAAACAGCAAUUGUGGUACCGACAAGGGCAUCUUCAGAUACAGUGCUAGAAAAAGACAUAAUGUUUAUCACUGGAGCAUUGUCAUUAACAUCAAAAACAUCAAAUAUAACUUUACUUGUUCCUGUUAAUCCACCUUGAUCCCUAGCCUCCACCCUCACCUCAUAUUUUCUGUCUUUUUCAUAAUCUAGGGGACCAUUUACAGAUAUAGUGCCUGUUUUUUCAUCAAUGCUAAACAAAUCUUCCGCACUACCUUUAGUAUUAGAUAAACUGUAACUGAUGACUCCAUUAGAACCACUAUCAGCGUCUGUGGCGUUUACUGUUAUAACUCUCGUGCCCUUCAGUGUGUUCUCAAACACAGAGGCUUUAUACACGGAUUGGUUAAAAACUGGAGCGUUGUCGUUCGCAUCUAAGACAGUGAUUUCUAUAUUUACUGUACCAGAUCUCUGUGGUGUUCCUCCGUCGACUGCGAUCAGUUUCAGAGACAAGUGUGGAUGUCGCUCUCGGUCUAAAGGCUUCUGGAGCACCAUUUCUACAUAUUUACUUCCGUCGGGAUUUGCAUGCUGCUUUAAUAUAAAAUUGUCGUUGGCUGAUAAAAUAUAAUCUUGCAAGGCGUUUUGUCCAACAUCUAAAUCUUCCGCACUCUGCAGGGGAAACUGUACUCCUACCACCGCUGAUUCACUUAUCUCGAGGCGGAUAGGCUUGUCAAUUUUUGGGAAAACGGGAGCGUGAUCGUUUAUGUCUAAAACCUCGAUAGUUAUUCGAUGCAGUUCAAUGGGAUUCUCUAAAAUCAUCUCAAAGCUGAAGCUACACGGAGUCGUGUCUCCACAGAGCUGCUCUCGGUCAAUUCUCUCAUUCACGACCAGAGUCCCUUUGUCUGUCUUCAGCUCGGUGUACUGGAUGUUUUCUCCACUCACGAUACGGGCCCGCCCUGCACGGAGCCUUCUCAGAUCCAAACCAAGAUCUUGAGCCACAUUACCGAUAACAGAGCCUUUCUUCAUCUCCUCUGGUAUAGAAUAACGAAUCUGACCAUCAACCACGUUAGCAACACACAGCAGGAAAAGCAGCAUUUGUAUUUUCCGUAGCAGUCCUUGAAAUACUCGCCAUCUUGCGCAUUUGUCGAAGAGAGAUCCUUCAACUGCCAUCAUAGCAACAAAGAAAAAAAGAGGCAAGUGUGUGUAUCCAGUGGAAAUGAUGGUGAAACUGGUUCCUUUAAAUCCUUGUCCUGGCAAAAUGUGAUCUCGUCUUCGAAUAUCACAUGAUAAUCUUUGAGACUGUGCUCUCCCCUACAACGUUUAAACCGCAUAAAACACAGAGAGCCUUUGGUAUCAGAGGGAGGAUGGACUGGAUGACGACACGACUUAAAUGUUUUGCUGACCAACAGCGUCCCUUAGAGUCUAGAAUGAGAAAUUCACGUGCAGCCAAGAGCGCGGUACUGUCAUUUAGACUGAAUAAAGAUUCCGUCGAUAUCCGGUGAUCAAUACUGAUAACCAAUAAUUGACCUUAAGGGUUUUAAAGACCAAAGUCCAAAUUAACAGUGAAUCAGCACGAUAAAUGCCAACAUUUUAAAACAAAUAAUCCAACUGAAUGGACAAUGCGAGAAAUCUGAACACCAAAAACACAUCUUCCAAGUUGCCAUGAUGCAAGUACAGUGCUGUAGUUAUACGACAACACAUUAAAAUGCUUUUAAGUGUAGUAUUUUUAUAUUUAAUAGGUGACUGCCAUUGCGGUUAGAAAACUAUGUUGUGUCUCACUUAUGAUGAAAAUAAAGAAUAAGAUGUGAAAGGCGAUAUGAAUAAAUAAUUUCUAACAAGAUUGAGAAGUGUUAUAAUCACUAUCAUCAAAAGCUCUAUUACUUUCACUUGCAUGUGAACUAUUACUCUUCUUAUCCUUUCCUCUUACCUUUAUUUUUGCAUGCUAUUCGUUAUCUGCUGCACUCUACCCUGUUUAUACAUGACAUUAUUUCCAAGGUAGUUUUCAUGGUUUAAAACUAAGUCCUUUUUUACUGAAGGAACCCUAUUUUGAUUCAUAUUAUAUCUGGCCUCUCAUUUGUUGCUAACACAAAUUAUUCAUGUCAGACUUAGCUUAUGAAGCUCAUAACAAUCAUAUAACAUUUACACUGACGUACUUUGGUAAUAAUCAUAAGUUAGCAAUGUACGUGUGAAGAUAAGGAAGCAGAGUUAAAUACGGAUUGAAGAACUUAUAUAUGAUCUUAACUCUCAGCUGCAACACCAGAAAAAUUCUUCCCUAACGUUUCAGAUUCCAGGGUCUCCAACCUAAUCAAAAAGCAUGAGCUGAUCAAACUUAAAAACGUAAAUACAAAAAAAAAGAUAGGAGAAAAUGUAUUUAAAAGGUUAUGACCUGACAAUAAACCAUGACGUCGAAAUAUUACCUCUUGAAUAUAGCAGCUUUCAGGGGCUGAAAAAAAAAUGACCGUGACCAACGGUCAGAGAGGGCGCUGUCCAUGGUGUUGGAUGUAAAGUUUAAGAUGUCAAUUGCAAUCAACCAAUCUAUAUGGAUGAAUAAAAAAAAGCGAAAUGUCAGGUUUUAAAUACCUCUAGUGGAGAGUCUGGUUCAUCCAGGAUGCUCUUCUCACUCUGUAUCCUCUGCAUGGUCCCUGUAGAACUGGGGUCCAUUAUCAGCACGUUCUGACUACCAGCUCUGCCGAACUUACAGUCACUCUUUCUCGAGUCAGUCGUCCUGCACACCUCGUAAUUGUACACGUGUGGAAGAGUCCCCGUGCCCAGAGUGUCUGAGUAACGUGGAGGAUAAUAGGGAAUCACUGGAAGACUGGAGUGAUACAGGAUACGAGACUGUCUCCAUCUGUAGAUUUUCACUGAUAUAAUGACCACCAAACACGUGAUGAAGAGGAAGGACACUACAGCCAAAGCCAGCACUAAGUAAAAAGUCAGGUUGUCAUUGUACUCCUUGUCGUGUGUAAAGUCAGUGAACUCUGACAGCACUUCAGGGAAGCUGUCCGCCACCGCCACGUUCACAAUGACUGUAGCUGAACGAGACGGCUGCCCGUUGUCCUCCACUAUCACAGUCAGUCUUUGUUUCACAGCAUCUUUAUCACUCACUUGGCGGAUAGUUCGGAUUUCUCCAUUCUGUAAGCCCACUUCAAACAGCGCCCUGUCUGUGGCUUUCUGCAGUUUAUACGACAGCCAGGCAUUCUGUCCAGAGUCCACGUCCACAGCCACCACUUUAGUCACCAGAUAGCCCACAUCUGCUGCACGAGGAACCAUCUCAGCAACCAGAGAGCCACCGGUCUGGACCGGGUACAGGACCUGAGGAGGGUUGUCGUUCUGGUCCUGGAUCAUUAUUUUCACUGUCACGUUGCUGCUGAGUGGAGGGGAGCCUCCAUCUUGAGCUUUGACUACCAGCUGAAGAUAUUUGAUUUGCUCAUAAUCAAGAGAACGAACUGCGCUGAGAACUCCAGUUUCAGAGUUUAAACUCACAUAAGUCGAGACUGGACUUCCACUGACCUGUGUAUCCUCUAAAAUAUACGAGAUUCUUGCAUUUUGGCCCCAAUCUGAGUCUCUCGCGCUGACAGUAAAUAUGGAUACUCCAGGUGGAUUAUUUUCUGUGAUGUAAGCAGAGUAAAUUGUUUUAUCAAAUAAUGGCGCGUUGUCAUUUACGUCAGAAAUCUUUAGGUGCAAUUUUGUGGAGGUGGAAAGAGGCGGAGAACCGAAAUCAGUGGCUGUUAUUGUGAUGUUAUAUUCUGAGACAGAUUCUCUAUCAAAAUGUUGAUCCGAGAUCAAAUUGUAAUAGUUUGUCAGAGAUGAGACGAUUUUGAAAGGCAGUUUUCCAUCGAUUGAACAUUUUAUUUGUCCAUUUUUAUCAGAAUCCGCAUCUUUUAUAUUUAAAAUAGCUAUUGUUGUACCAGGAGGAGCAUCUUCAGAUACAGGACUAGAAAAAGACAUAAUGUUGAUCACUGGAGCAUUGUCGUUAACAUCAAAAACAUCAAAUAUAACUUUACUUGUUCCUGUUAAUCCACCUUGAUCCCUAGCCUCCACCCUCACCUCAUAUUUUCUGUCUUUUUCAUAAUCUAGAGGACCAUUUACAGAUAUAGCGCCUGUUUUUUCAUCAAUGCUAAACAAAUCUUCCGCACUGCCUCUUGUAUUAGACAAACUAUAACUAAUGACUCCAUUUGAACCACUGUCAGCGUCUGUGGCGUUUACUGUUAUAAUUCUUGCACCCUUCAUUGUGUUUUC